UACGUAGGGUGCAGGCGUUAAUCGGAAUUACUGGGCGUAAAGGGCUCGUAGGCGGCCAACUAAGUCCGACGUGAAAUCCCCAGGCUUAACCUGGGAACUGCGUCGGAUACUGGAUGGCUUGAAUCCGGGAGAGGGAUGCGGAAUUCCAGGUGUAGCGGUGAAAUGCGUAGAUAUCUGGAGGAACACCGGUGGCGAAGGCGGCAUCCUGGACCGGCAUUGACGCUGAGGCGCGAAAGCCAGGGGAGCAAACGGG
rnacentral:rRNA from 1 species